rnacentral:rRNA from 1 species
CCUACGGGGGGCAGCAGUGAGGAAUAUUGGUCAAUGGGAGAGAUCCUGAACCAGCCAAGCCGCGUGAGGGAAGACGGCCCUAUGGGUUGUAAACCUCUUUUGUCAGGGAACAAAGGCGGGGACUAGUCCCCGGAUGAGGGUACCUGAAGAAAAAGCAUCGGCUAACUCCGUGCCAGCAGCCGCGGUAAUACGGAGGAUGCGAGCGUUAUCCGGAUUUAUUGGGUUUAAAGGGUGCGCAGGCGGCCUGUUAAGUCAGCGGUAAAAGCCCGGGGCUCAACCCCGGCGAGCCGUUGAAACUGGCGGGG